GCAGCGGGAGAGCCCCACGUACGCCAGGCCGAGCGUGACCUCACGCGCACUGGGCCCAGAGAGCCCAGAGCCUGCAGAGGCCCGCCCCCGCCGCCCCCGCCCAGCCAAUCAGAGAGGACAGGGCUGCGCGUCCGUGCGCGCGACCCUUGUCCCCGCGGCAGGGUUUCCCUGCCCCACCCCCACUCCUGAGCCCGGCCCGCGGGGAACGGGGUUCUGGGGCCGCCGGGACGGCGACAGGGGCGCCUCCCGCCGUGCGCCUGGACGGCCGGCCUGCCUCCCCCGCCCCAGUCUUCCCACUGGCCAGCCCCGCGAGCGUAGAAAGUUCCAGGAGAAGCACCCGCUCUUAAUGGCGGCCGCGGCGGGGGCCGGUUUUAAGAAAUAUUACAGAGACACAACCGAAGGCACUGUUCUUGUUCCCUUCUCUUCCCCACAGAGAGCCAGAUGUGGGGCUCAGCCUCAUGAGUCAGGAGAUCGUGACCUGAGCCGAAAUCAAGAGUCGGAUGCUCAACCAAAUGAGCCACCCGGGCACCCCCCAUCCUAAUCAUUUUUCAAGAAAAGAAGGCAUGGAGUUACAAACCAAAGUUACAAAAGGCUGUCCUUUCCCUACUGAAUGGCCCUGACACCCUUGCUGAAUAUAAGCAAAAGGAGAGGGUUUGUUACCACUGCCCUGCAGGAAACAUUCAGAUGAGUUCUAUAAGCUGAAAUGAAAACGUAUUGGACGGUGACUUGAAGCCAUACAGAGAAAUAAAGACCUCAACAAAAGGAAAUGUAUGGGUAUUGAUAAAAGCCGGCUUUAUUGUAACAAUGUUGGAGGUCAGGAAAAAGUUUUGUAAAUAGAAGUGGUGAUGGUUGCCCAACAUUGUGAAUUCAACUUAUUGCACUGAAUUGUAGCUUUAAAAAUUGUUAAGAUGAUGCAUUU